AGCGAACGCUGGCGGCAGGCCUAACACAUGCAAGUCGAACGAACCUUUCGGGGUUAGUGGCGGACGGGUGAGUAACACGUGGGAACGUGCCUUUAGGUUCGGAAUAACUCAGGGAAACUUGUGCUAAUACCGAAUGUGCCCUUCGGGGGAAAGAUUAAUCGCCUUUAGAGCGGCCCGCGUCUGAUUAGCUAGUUGGUUGAGGUAAUGGCUCACCAAGGCGACGGUCAGUAGCUGGUCUGAGAGGAUGAUCAGCCACAUUGGGACUGAGACACGGCCCAAACUCCUACGGGAGGCAGCAGUGGGGAAUCUUGCGCAAUGGGCGAAAGCCUGACGCAGCCAUGCCGCGUGAAUGAUGAAGGUCUUAGGAUUGUAAAAUUCUUUCACCGGGGACGAUAAUGACGGUACCCGGAGAAGAAGCCCCGGCUAACUUCGU
rnacentral:rRNA from 1 species